rnacentral:rRNA from 1 species
CACGUAGGGGGCGAGCGUUGUCCGGAUUUAUUGGGCGUAAAGAGCUCGUAGGCGGCUCAGUAAGUCAGGUGUGAAAACUCCAGGCUCAACCUGGAGACGCCACCUGAUACUGCUGUGGCUAGAGUCCGGUAGGGGAGCAUGGAAUUCCUGGUGUAGCGGUGAAAUGCGCAGAUAUCAGGAGGAACACCAGUGGCGAAGGCGGCAUCCUGGACCAAUUCUGACGCUGAGGAGCGAAAGCCAGGGGAGCAAACGGG